rnacentral:pre_miRNA from 1 species
GAAGUACUCCCUCCGAUCCUAAAUUGUUGUCGGAAUAUUACAUGUAUCUAGACACUUUUUAAGAAUAGAUACAUCCAUAUUCGGGCAAAUUUGAGACAAGAAUUUAGGAUCGGAGGGAGUAUUAC